AUAAUAGUGCGUACCCAAGAUCAUAGGAUUAUAUGAGAUCCAAAAUUGUAAAACCAUAGUCGUUAACAAUUCCUUUUUAUAAUGAUUUUUCAUUUGGUAUUCAGUACUUGCUUUGAAUUGUUCGAUUAAUUUGAAGACAAGUUCAACACAAGUAGGUUGAAAAUUAUUAAAGUCAUAUUGCAAACUCAUGAACUUUCUUUGAUUUUUGUACUUUUCAACAAUUUUGAAUAAUCAAAUACCUUCGACCAAGACAUAAACAUUAUAAAAAAAUUUAUGAAUGGUACUAUAUAUAUAUAACUCAUAUUCCCAAAACCUCAAACAAUAAGCUUUUAGAAAUCAUGAAAAUGAUUAUAACUUGUAUUUUUGCAUUACUUGUUAUACAAGAAAUGGCCAUUUUUCAAAAUAGCCAUUUAGAAAUAUGGCCACUACUAGAUGUUUAUGCAGAGAUGAUGAGACCUUCUCCGCCACCACCACCACCACCAAAGGCCGCGCCACCUAUUAGGCCAAGAUUACUGAUUGAACCACCUACCCCGCCGUCUCCAUAGUUGACUCAAAGUUUUGAUUUGUUGGUGUGCAAAGAUGGAGCUAGGAUUUUGAGUUUAUGAAUUUUGAAUUCUAGAAAAUGUAGCUCACUAGAUUCUUUGUAAGUUAUUUAUACGUAAUAAGUAGAUAUGAAAAUACAAAAUAGGGUUUGAGUCAAAAUUAUUGAGUUCUGGUGAACCUUCUUGUGAAGUUGUAGGCUUGUAGCUCCACCACUAAUGAUGUGUUACCAUGUUCAUAUUUUCACUAUGUGUAUGAUUGCGUUUAGUACUUCAUAUAAUAAAGCAAGGCUUUCAUUCUUUCUCUCCCUCUUUUUUCCCCUUCAUUUUAAUACUUAUAUUGGAAUCUGACUAAAUUCAAAUUUGUGACAAUACUGUGGUUGUGUGUUUUCUUUAAUUAUUUCAGGAUAAGUUAUUCCACCACGUAUAAAUGAUAACUUAUCCUAUCACUAAGGUAUAAAUAGUAGGAUAAAUUAUAAUCUCAAAAUAACCUAAUACCUUCAAUUUUGAGAGGAUGAAUGCACUAUUAUAAAAGUCAAAUAUGAGAGGCUUGUUGGUCUAUAUUAAGUGAAUUAUUAGCCCGCUCUUCUCUGAAGGAUCACUACAAAAUCCCUAUAUAUCAUGCUUUAACUAAUAAACAUAAAAAUGAAAAACUUGGAAAGGAGCAGAUGUAUUUGUUGUCCAUAAGAUGCAUAAAUGAAAGAAAAUAAAUACUUCAGUAGCUUAAUUUGAUUUUGACAUAACACGUGAAAAGUUGAAAUUAAAGAGUUAGACGUAAAAAUGUACCAGAAUUGAGAAGUGAGAGCAGGUCCAGUAGGGAAAGGAGCCAACCAUCCAAUCACAUUCAAGUCGAUCUCUCCUCAGCCAGUCCCUCUGGAAACUGAAUUUCAUAAAAAUAAAUCAUCAACUAUAGGUGGAAAAAAAAAUGGAAAUAUUUAUCAACCAUUGUAUUAAUUGGAUAGAUCUAUUUUUAAUUUAGUAAUUUACCAUGUUUCCCUUUUGCUAUAUUCAGGUACAUCCAGAGCACUUGAAAUCCUUAAACUUGCCUCCAGGAUAACCAAGCUUUUGUACAAUUCAAGCAUAUUUUCGAGCUGCUAACUUCAAAUCCUCACUAGUUGUCUAACUAUACUAUAAUAGUAGGUCUAAAAUGAUUCCUUAACUAUAUACUUAACGGAUUUUUGUUGAGGGGUAAUAAAAUUAGACAACGUACAUAGUUAGUUCUUUAAAAAUGAAAAAAAAAAUGAUGAAGUAGCUAUCGUAAAAAUAUGGAUCUUGUGUCUAACACAUAACCUCAAAAUUAAAGCUAUAAAGUUUAUGAAGAGAAAAUUUUCUAAGGCCAUAUAAGGAGAUCAUUCAUCUCUUUUCAUUUGAUGUGGGACUCUUCAACAUCCCAAGGGCGGAGCCACCUUAGGCGAAGGGUGUUUCGGUGCACACCCUUCGUCAGAAAAUUAUAUGGUGUACUGUGUACAUAUGGUAAGUGUUAGUUAAUAUUGUAGACACGUAAUUUUUGACCGAACAUAAAAUUUUAUACUAUUUUUAUUCCUUAAAUGUUUCUUUUAUGUCUAAGUUAGAUAUUUUAAUUUUGUCUUAUUUUAGUGAAUUUAUUUUAAAAGAUUUGAAAAUAACAAAAAAAUAUGUUUUAUUUUUAUUCUAGUUUAAUAAAUAAACUAGUAUUUCUUAUUUAUAAUUUACUAUUAGCUACUCAAUUUUUGUUAAUUUUUAAAAAUAACUAAAUAAUAUUAUAUUAUAUUAUAUUUUUUUUAAAAAAAAUUUUACCCCACUACCCAUUACCCCCUAAACCUCGCUCUACCCACAUUUCCAACCCCACACAACACACACCACACACACAUAUACUACGUACUACACUACUAUACAUACAGACGCACAAACACUCUGCAAAGAAAAAAUCAGCAACCAAAUACACAACACAAUACUACAACAACCAACACAUAUACACGACACACAACAAAAGAAAGGAAGAGAAAAAAGUCAGCAAAAUAUAUACACACAAAACGCCAGAAGGAGGAAAAAAAAACUCACAUUUUAUUUUAUACAUUUUCUUUCACUCACAAACAAAAAUUGAGGUUGAGGUUCACUUUCGUGAUUUCUUAUUAGGAUUGUUUCCUUUUCGUGAAUUAAUUUCGCAAGAGGUACCAUUUAACUUUUUGUAUAAUUUGAUUUUCAUAAUUAUAUAAUACUUGAUUUCAAUGUUAUGAAGUUGCUCGAAUUUUAUGUGCGUUUAAUCUCAUUGUUUUUCAUCUUGUACCAUAUGCUAUUAUUAAUUAAGCAUUUCUUCCAUCCAAUCAAAAUUUAUCAAAUACCUGAAAAAUUAUUAUAAUAGUUUGUUGAGUCUUUAUCUAAAAUUAAAAAUAUUCAUACUAGAAAAAUUAAGAAAUGAAGAGUUACACAUUUUUUAAAAAUUAUUUUAAUGCUUUUUGUCAUAACUUGUAAAUAUACUAAAAAUAUAAAUGUAUCAAUGUCGGAUUUUAAUAUGAAAUAACUUUAUAUUUAUUUAAGAUUUUAGACUUUUAUUAUGUAAAUAAUGUUUAUAAAUAUAAAUAGUAGAUGUAGUUUAAUCACUAAUAAUACACUUAAAGUUUCUACUAAUAGGUAAAAUAUUAAAAUAUAUGACCCGUUUCAAAGGUCAAUUUCAUUGAAACACUUAAAAGAAACUCAAGGAUGCGGUGACGCACCUUGUCCAAAUUGUUUUAAUAAUUAAUUUUUGUUAAUUCAAACCAAGAGGUGUAAAUUGAGAUUAUUAAGUGUGAUGAACUCGAGAGGGAAAGACAAUUAUGUCUCCAAAUGUCAAGAUCAAGAAUGCAGUUUUGCAUCCGGUUUAAAACUAAUAAAAGCUAAACAAAUAAAAAAUGUGACCAAAUCAUGGCCUUUAAAAAUAUAUUCGAAAGAUAGUUAAAUAAGUAUAAGUUAAAGAAGCGACCGUGCUAGAACCACGGGACUCGAAGGAUGCCUAAUAUCUUCCCCUUGAUCAACAGAAUUUCUUACCCGAAUUUUUAUUUCGCAGAUCAAAUAAAGAGUCAUUUUCUUUUGAUUAGAAAUUAAAUUAAAAAAAGUGACUUGGAACACCAUAACUCAUUUUUAAGUGACGUCUUCGAAAAAAUAAAAAUAAUCUCUAAUCAAUAACGUCACUUAAAUUGGAAAAAACCUUUCGUCGUGCGGGCAAAAAGAGGUGUGAUAUCCUUGGCGACUCUGUUGGGGAUCGAACCCAGAAUCUCUGGUUUUAUUAUAUUGACUUUUACUUGCUCUUAUUAUUAUUUUUUGAGAUAUAUUGUGUAUGAAGGACUAAUGUGUUACUUAUUGCUAAUUUAUUGCUUUGAUAUGGUUGAAUUAUGUUAUAUAUUAUUUUCUUUCACGCACCUUUUCGCAGUCUAAACAAAACACUUCAUACACAGUCAUAAAAAUGCAGUUAUGCAUCCUAUUUACUAUUGAGAUAAAGCAGAAUGUUUUGACACCUGUUGAAGAAUUAUUAGUAGCACAUGUUAGGUGGAGUUGUAUCAACAAUGAAGUCAGAAUAACGUGUAACAUCUCGCAACUAGAAAGAACUAGAAGAAAGUUUAAAAUCGGGAAAUAGUUUUUUUGUUAAGUGUAAGGAAAUCUGAAAUUUUUUAAGUAAGUUAAAGUGAGUUUUUGCUCAACUUCAAACGACCAUAACUUCUAGCUCAUGAUGAGAUAGAUGUAGUUUUAAAUAUGGUUGGAAAGCUCUUGGAAUGAUCUUUCCAACGCUGCUAAGUUUGCACCAUUUUGGGUUCGUAUGAGUAAGUUAUACCUUUUGAAAGUUGGGCUGUCAAAAUAAGAAAAUUUCUAACCCGAAUUCUAGAAGGGAGAUUUAGUCUUUUCCUAACCUAAUUAUUCUAAUUCGUUUUAGGAGAUUAAUUGGGGUAAAACCAAACUUUAUUUAAUUUAGAAAAAUUAGAUUUUACACUAGGGCUUGGAGAGGAGAAGAAAGAAGAGAAAAAAAGAGAGAAAUCGCCGAGAACGUUCAAGCCUUGCUAGUAGAAUUCGUCGGGAGUAAUCCCUACAAGGUAUGUGAGAUCAUCUAGUGUUGGGUUAGUUCACCCACACGUCAAACUCGUUUCAAUUCAGCAAAAUUGGAGUUGUUUGAAUGUUAAGAAAGUGAAGUUCUUGAAGAACAUUGUUGAAUUCUUGUUGGUUGAUUGUUAAAUGCCUAGUGUUGAUUUAAUUAGUGUUUCCGGGUUGUUUUUUGAGUUAAAUCUAUUGGGUAUUGAGGGUACUAAUGAUCCUAAGUGUUUGGGGGAAUGAACUAUGGAAGUUUGAAAGGGUUUAGAUAUGAAAAAUAGAGAAGAAAAAUUGUCAAAAACCUGAGGUAAGGGGUGGGGCAUCGCGCCAACCAGCGCGCCUUAAAAAGGGCUCUAAAGUUCACCCCUUGGGGCGAUGCGCUAGCCAGUGCUCCCCAACAGCUUCUCUGUCGUUUGAGGGCUGGAACCCCGCACCUCUCAUAGCGCUAGGGACGUCAAUUCUCCCCAUUCUGUCACGCCUCGAGCCUAUACCCCGGGCAGGACCGGCACCUGGAGACCAUUUCUAUUCCCAAGCGAACCCUUGGCCUGACUUUUUUAACUCAGCGGAAACCUAACUCAACAAAAUAACUCAAUGCAAAUGCAAUGUUACAAAACAACUUAACUUAUAAAAUCUGGCCACAAAGGCAACUCGAAUCUCAAAAUAGAAUAUUUACAUAUAUACAUAGAUGAGAGACUCAACACUAACUGACUAACUGUCUAUGAAGCCUAUAAAAUACUGAGAUGGAUGUUGGGACAGACCCCGCAACACCCUAAUAAAACAAAACUAAGAACACAAAAUAAUUGAGUCCUCCGGAAUGCAAGGAGGCUCACCACUAAUUCUAGGGUGCUCAGCUGGAUCAACGGCGUACUGGAUGCUAAUCCUGGGUACCUAACUCUGCAUCAUAAUAAGAUGCAGACCAACUGACAUCAGUACAUGGAAUGUACGAGUAUGCGAGUUGAAAAGCUAAACCACAACUUAAGCUUGAAAAGAGUAGAAAGAGAACACUUACCUUGGCUCUGUAUGACUCAUGAAUAACUGAACUCAAUAUAUUAAUCGACAACCACUACUAUGAUCCCUAGUGAUGAUACAACGUUUUACCUCACGCUGCCCAAGAACCAUCCUAUACCUUGCCGUGAUAUAGGAAGCUAACUUUACUAAGUGUAUCCAGUGGCUUAACUUUCGUGAUCAUCUAAAAAGUAUGACCCGAGAAACUCCAUGUUGGCGCAUGGUUCUUAUGGAGAGUUGAGUUAAUAUGAACUUGUGUCCCCAAUUCGGUGCUCAAUACUACUCCCAAAAAUACUUUGGCUCAUAAGUGUCUUUAAACACAUCUUGCUUUAGUUGAGGUAAUUACUCAAAACUUAGCCCAAAGGCUCUUUUGGAAAACAUGUUUCCUCUUUUACUCAAAUGUAAAAACAUUUAUAAACUUUUUUGGGAAUACUUAGUUUCCUAAUAGCUUUUGAGAAAUAAACUCGACUUUAAACUUUUGACUUAACUUGAAACUCGAUACUCUUUACUUGACUUGAAACUCUAUACUCUUUUACUUGACUUGAAACCUGAGUCUUGAAAUGAAGUUAAAACGUUCACUAAAGACUCUUGAACAACUCUAAAAAAAAAACUUGCUUUGACUUACUUAACUUCUAAGCUUGACUCUAAUUUCACUAGACUUCUAACUUCAUUUGACUUGGAAACUAACUCUCCUUGAAUCUUGGAUUAUGAAUUCAAGGUAUUUGAUCACAUGUUAUGGAUGAGUUUGGGAUGUCAAGAUGUACCUUAAAGUAUUGGAACAACUAUAAAACAUUGGUAUUUUACCAAGAAACAUGUAUGAAAAAGUGGGGAAUGAAGGUAACGGGAAGGAUUGGCGUCCUUGGCGCUCUAAGAGGUGCGGGGCAUCAUCCCUCAAACUUCAGAGGGGCCUGCUGGGCGUUCUGCCAGGCGCUCUGCCCCAAGGGGAAAGUUUAGCGUCCCUUUUUCGGGUGCGCUGGCUAGCGCGACAGCCCAGCCCUUUUCCCCAAAAAAAUUGACUUUUUCCCUUUGUUUCUUUCCAACUCUAAACCCUUUCAACCUCAAAGGUUCCAGCAGCAAAAUCACAACCAAAUAAUGUCCCAAAUCAACAAGAACUUCAACACCACAACCAACAACUUCAACAACACAACCAACAACUUCAACAACACAACUAAUCUUUUCUUGAAAAUAAAACGAAUAUGGUGUGUGGGAGAAAGGACCAACCCCAACACUAAGGAUCAUAAAAUCCGUCAACAUACAAGAGAUUCAAUUCAAAAACACAACCAAAUCAUGUCCCAAAUCAACAAGGGACUUUAACAACACAAUUAACAAUAGCAACAACACAACCAACAACACAACCAACCUUUUCUCAAUAAUAAAACGAGUUUGGUGUGUGGGGGAAAGAAUCAACCCAUCACUAUGAACUCACAUACCUAAUAAGGAUCACCCCUGACGAUAUCCACGACGAUCUUGACGAAAAAUCCUUGCUUGAUCUUCUUUUUCUUCUCUUCUUCUCCUCUUCACUCAAAACCCUCACUCUCACUCUUUUAAAAAUGGGACAAACUGAUCUAAAAAUCAGUCCAACACUUAAAUAUAACCAAAAGAAUUGAUUAGGGAAAAGACCAAAAUAUCCUUAAAAUUUCCGGACGAAUUUCUCUUCCAACUGCCCAACUUCCAAAGGGCAUAACUCCAUCAUAUGAACUCAAAAAUGAACAAACUCGGUGGCGUUGGAAAGAUCAUUCCACGAGCUUCACAAACAUAACUGGGACUACUCCUAAAUCAUCCUGAGCUAGGAGGUAUGACUGCUCAAAGUUGGCCAGAAACUCAUAUUUUUCCACACUUAACCAAAUUUUCCAGAUUCUGAAUUUUUACAAAAAAUGACUAUUUUCGAUUUUCAGCUUCUCUAUAGUUAUUUCAAAUUGUCGGAUGUUACACAUUCUUCCCCCCAGUUCCAUUUCGUACUAGUUCUAAGUGAUGUACCUAUGUUUCUUAGUUGAUUUAUCAUGAAAUCGUUCAUAAAAUGAGAUCAUGAACCUUGAAUCCAUAAUCCAAUUCGAGGAAAGUUAUGAUCAAAGUCAUAGAAGCUAAGAGUCAAAGUCUAGAAGUUAAGAAGCAAGUCAAAACAAAGUUUCUUAAAGUUUUCAAGAGUCUUUAUCAAACGUUUUACCUUCGUUUUAAGGCUCAAGUUUUAAGUCAAGCAAAGAGUAAUCUUGAAGUUCAUUUCUUCAAAAGUAUAUGGGGACUAAGUAUUCCCAAAGAGAAUUAAAAUGUUUUCACAUUUAAAUAAGAACGGAAACUGAGAUUUCCAAAGAGCUUUCGAGCUAUUUUUCAGAAAAAGUAAUCAUUUUCUAAAUGAAGCAAGAGUGGAAACUUUGAUUUCCAAGAUAGCCUUUGAGCUAAGUUUUUGAGCACUAAUCUCAAAUCACAGAAGAAGUAUGUUUUUAAAACAUACGAACCAAUAUAUUUUGGGAGUAGAAUUGAGCAUCGAAUUGGGGACGAGCAUGAGUUUAGAUAACUCACGUCACCAUAGAACCAUGUAGCCACCAUGGGUGGAAAAGGGUCAUACUUUUUAGAUGAAUCCUCUUCGCAAUAGACUAGUGGAUCCAUUAGGCAGUUUAGGUUCUAUACCUUUGGACGGGUAUAGGAUGCGCUGGCAGCAUGAAGUAGAUCGUUGUAUCAUCAUUGUAGCUCUUAUGUGAUGGUUGUCGAUUAGAGAAACUCCUACAUAAGUUAUUGUAUUUUUAUAUACAUUAAUUUAUUGUAUUUUUACAUACAUUUCAGAGUUGUUGUAUCCUUUUAUAUACACAGAGUUGACAUCAUGUUUUUAAACAACUUUUCUUUAUAUUGCACUUGUUUUAAACUGCUUUAUAUUAAAAUGAGUUCAGUAAGUAUUCAUGAGUUGAGUAGAGCCAAUGUAAGUGUUUCUAUCAUAUUCCAUUUCAAGCCUUUGUUUGUUAGCAAUCCAACUCGCAUACUCGUACAUUCAAUGUACUGAUGUCAGUUGGCCUGCAUCUUAUUAUGAUGCAGAUACAGGUAACUGGGAUCGGCAUCCGGCGCAUCGUUGAUCCAGUGAGCAGUUCAGAGUCUGUUGGUGAGCCUCUUUGUAUUCCAAAUGACUCAUUUUUAUUGCUUUCUAGUUAGUUCAUUAGGAUGUUGUGGGGUUGUCCUAACAUCCAUCUCAGUUGUUUUAGAGGUUUCAUAUAUAGUCAGAUGUUAGUCUUCUGAGUCUUUUCAGUUUCAUUUCUUAUUGUUAAGACUUGGGUUGCCACUUUUGACCAAGUUGAAUGUUUGAUCUUUAAAACAUUCUCAGUUAUUUUAUUAUUCAGUUCAGUUAAAUUCAUUUAUCAUUAUAGAUAUGAAUAUUGUCUUCCACUGAGUUAAGCAAGUCAGGCCAAUGGUUUGUUUGGGGACAACAAUGGUCUUCGAGUGUCAGUCCCGCCCAGGGUGUAGGCUCGGGGCAUGACAUAACGCUGCUAUACCGAUAAGUUGCCCCUCCCUGACUCGAGUUGUCCUCUCGAGUAAACCAGUCUAGACACCAAUCUCUUCAGGACUGAACCUAGUAAAAACUAGAAUAUAGACAUGCUUGUCCCUAGUAGGUUUUACUUAUUUGCAUCAUUUGUAUUUGACUUAGUAAGCCUCGAAACAAGAGUUGGGUCCGUCUGGGACAAAUAUCCCUCUCUUACUUGACCACUUAAAUCAUUUAAUGUGUUACAUGAAAAUACAUUUAUUUAGAAAGUCUCUAUAAGUUGACUAAUUUUAGUGUGAUUAGUGAAGAGAAUGUUAUCUUUCGAUCUUUACAAAAAAAAAAAAAAGAGAACACAAAAUAUUUCUUCUUUUAAAAGAUAUUAUACAUUUCUAGAAAAUAAAAUGAAAGAUUUCGCACUACUUAACCAAAUUAUAAAAAAAAAAAUCUUUUUGUACAGUUAAAGAAAAAAAUUCAAAAGAUUUUACUUUCAUAACACUUUGAAAAAUUGCAUUUGUCAAAAAAAGCAAUAAUUAAAAGUAUUUUUACAGUCCAAUCUGAACGAUCUACACACACCUGGUUCUCAAAUCGAUGAGAUAGUAGGCAACCGUCCUCGGGUUCGAUGAUCCUUAUUUAAAAAUUCAGAAAAAAAAAGUUAUCCAUUCUAAAAAUAGGAUUUAUCUUUUAAAAAAAAGUGUUUUAACUUCGUAUAUAACGAACUACGCACACCUGAUUCUCAACUCGAUGUGAUACGUAGGCAACCCUCCUCGGGUUCGGUGAUCCUUAUUUAAAAAUUCAAAAAAAAGAGAAGUAUUUUCUUAUUAAAAAUAAUGUUGUGUUCAUAAUCACUCUGAACUACGUUUGACCUGAUUCUUGUUUUGACAAGAUACGUAGGCAACCCUCCUCGGGUUCGGUGAUCCUUAUUUAAAAAUUCAAAAAAAAGAGAAGUAUUUUCUUAUUAAAAAUAAUGUUGUGUUCAUAAUCACUCUGAACUACGUUUGACCUGAUUCUUGUUUUGACAAGAUACGUAGGCAACCCUCCUCGGGUUCGGUGAUCCUUAUUUAAAAAUUCAAAAAAAAGAGAAGUAUUUUCUUAUUAAAAAUAAUGUUGUGUUCAUAAUCACUCUGAACUACGUUUGACCUGAUUCUUGUUUUGACAAGAUACGUAGGCAACCUUAUUUUGAGGUUCGGUACAACCUCAUUGUUUCCUGUGCAUUGUGUGGUGAGUUUUAGGUAUAAAAUUCAAUGGAAUGACUUUUGAUCUAGAACUUGGCCUAAAUGUUGGUUGAGGCGAAAUUUUGAGCAACAUUUAACUUGGAAAAUCAUUAUAGGCUUUCUUAAAUGUGUAUAAAAAUAUAAAUAGAUUAAUCAUUUAUUAAAUAAAUUGAAAUUGAUUUUUAAAUUAAAAUUAAAAUUUAAUUGAUAUGUCAUAACCCGUAAAUAAACUGUUAUAAGUAAGAAUUGUUUAAAAGUAUAUUUAAAACCCGUAAAAUUAGACUCUUAAAUGUGUAUAUGGUGUGAAUUUUCCAUAUAAUAUUUCAUUUAGUGGAGCAAUAAAUAAAUUACAUUAUUACAAUAUAACUAUACCUUAGUCGCCAACAUAUUGAGGCCCACUAUAUGAAUUUUUACUUUUUCAAUUAUUGAGCAUAUAUAUUAUCCUUAUUUAGAAGUGAGAGUCGGAAAGGACCAACACUGCAUUAAUACUCUUGUACAACAUGCAUACAAUUUUGUACAUUAACUUUUGACUGCAUUAAUUAGUUGUACAACGUGCAAAAAGAAUUGUACAUUAAUAGAAUGACUAACACCAAGGACUAACAUUGCAAUUAUUAUUAUUACUCAUUACUUAGAAGGACUAACAUUGCAAUUAUUAUUAUUACUCAUAUUAUUAUUAUUACNNNNNNNNNNNNNNNNNNNNNNNNNNNNNNNNNNNNNNNAUUAUUAUUAUUACUCAUUACUUAGAAGGACUAGCAUUGCAAUUAUUAUUAUUACUCAUUACUCCUUAUUAGAAUUAUUAUUAUUACUCAUUUGGCUCCUUAUUAGAGUUGACACUUUAAAGCACGAACACCGCACCACCAUGUUGUACACAAAACAUUUCAAAUUGUACUAUAAAAUUAAUUGUGCCUCGUUAAUUGUACACGUGCCUUUCUAAAUAUACAACAACCCAAAUGAAGAAUUAAUUUUCUGACAAUUUUGGUUAUAUUUUUCUUUAAAAUAAUUAUUGCCUCGAUUUUUAUUUUUAUUUUUAACAUUUAUUUUUAUUUUAAAAGAUUGGAAAUUUUAUGUUAAAAAUUUAAAUAAUAGAAAAAAUGAUUUAUUUAACUUUUAUCAUCAUCAAUACUAUUAAUUUAUUUGACGUUUUUCUUAAUCUUCAUCUCAUCAUUAAUGUUAUUUAUAUAAUUUUCUUAAAUCACUUAUUUUUCUUUUUUAACUCUUUUAUAUUUUAUUUUACUCUUAUCUUUCUUAUUUAGAAAUGAUUUGGAGGACCAACAUUGCACUAAAGAGUUGGACUAAAAGCUAUAGAAAUUGUACAUUGAGGCCCACCAAAAAGAUGAACUAAAGUAACUUCAUCUACUUCUACUUUUUCUACACAUAUUUUUCUUUAAUAAAAUAAUUAUUGCCUCCAUUUUUAUUUUAUUUUUUAACAUUUAUUUUUAAUUUUAAAACAUUGGAAAUUUUAUGUUAAAAAUUUAAAUAAUAGAAAAAAUGAUUUAUUUAACUUUUAUCAUCAUCAAUACUACUAAUUUAUUUGACGUUUUUUCUUAAUCUUCAUCUCAUCAUUAAUGUUAUUUAUAUAAUUUUCUUAAAUCACUUAUUUUUUCUUUUUUAACUCUUUUAUAUAUAUAAAAGUUGGAUAUGUAAAUGAUGAUGUCACAUUUCUUAGAAGCUAAGAUUACUAUUUAUCUAAUUUCUCCAAAAAAAAAUUAAAAAAUGAAGAUAUCAUACGCAAAUUUAUGGUUAAACUUAAACUAUUUGAUUCUCGAAAAAUAAAAAGUCUCACAUAAAAUGGGACAGACGAAGGAUAACUCUCAAUUAAAUUUAUUUCACUUUUUAUUUUCCAUUUUUAACAUAAUUUUUCAAGUUGGAUUUCUAGGAAUUCUAUAGUAGACCCAUUUAAAUUUUGCUUUUUUGUUUUAAAUUAGAGAACUUGUCCGCACUUCUCGCGAUCAUUUAAAUUAAAUAUUUUUGAUUAAUUUUAUAUUUACUUUGUUGUUUAAUCGUAAUAUUAUUAUUUGUCUUAAUAAUAUGAAGAUUGUGAAAAAAAAUAAAGCUUCACAAAUUUUACAUCUAUUAAAUGAGGAAGAAUAUAUUUUUUAUCAAAUAAGUUAAAAUAUAUUUGCUAAUAACAAAUUCUUCCAUUGCAUGAAGUUCAUCCUUUAAUAUAUAAUAUAUAUUUCGGUCUACCAUUCUCCUUAAAUGUCUAACAAAUAUCUCAUAAUGUCAAAUAAGACUGUAAUACUCCCUCUGUCCCUAAUUACUUGUCCACUUCUAAAUUUACACAUUUAUUAAGAAAUCAAUUAAUGACAUAAUGAGUUUAUCAUUUUACCCCUAUUAAUUAUGAAGUAGAUGAAAAGUUCUGCAAUUUUCAAAGUAAUUAGUCAUUUAAUUGAGGGUAUAAUAGGUAAAAAAAUAUUCUUUCUUGAUUUGUCAAAAUGGACAAGUAAAUAGGGACGGAGGGAGUAUAAAGAAAGAUUUUUGUUUUCCAAAAAUAGUCACCAAUAACUAUUCUAGACUUUCAUAUAUGAAAUUUUAAAUUGUAGGAUAAUGAUUAAUUUUUUUUAACAUAAAGUCGAAAAAGUCUGAAAAGGAUAAAGUGUUCGGAGAUACUUUUAGCCACCGGAGGACCGACUCAAUGAGCACCUUUGGGCGGUGCUUUUUCGAACACCUUACCCCUAACCUCACAAGGGGUAGGAGGGUUGUUUCUGAUAAACCUCGACUCAAGUAGAGAUGAAAAGGAAGCAAUAACAAAACACUAGUUGAGUUCAAACCAAUAAAAAGAAUGAAGGACCUAGUAAAUUGAACCGUACAAAAUUGUAAUGUUGAUAAUCUUUCCUAAAAUUUAUCUAAAUUAAACUCUCCUCUAAGCAGUCACUGUUUGUUUUUGAGCAUAAGUUAUCCCUUUCUCAAUGCUAGCUUUCAACUCUGGCUUUAGAGCUUCCAAUGCCUUUUGUUCAUACUCAGUUAAUCCACGGAGAUCAGAUGAAAUCAAAGCCUCGACGCCAUUCCUUCCUAGUUUAACUCUUGAUGCAAAGAAUGGAAGUUCCGUCAAGUCAGAUUGCACGUAAGAACACUCGUAAACAUCAGCAUCACCAUCAAGGGCACGAAGUGAGGAUUCGAUAAAUCUAGCUGCUGCAUAUGCCAUUGACAGUGUUGCAGAUCCUGCUCCAGCCUUUGCCUCAACGACCUCGGUCCCAGCAUUUUGGAUCCUCACGGUUAGUUCCUGCACUUCUUCUGCGGUGAAAGUAGUUGAUGGUCUUGUCUUUGACAGCAAAGGCAGAAUUGUUAUCCCUGCGUGCCCACCAAUCACGGGGACGUCAACGUCUAUGAGUUUCAGGUUUUUCUUCUGCGCGACGAACGUGUUUGCCCUGACAACGUCCAGGGUGGUAACACCAAAGAGUUUUUUAGGAUCAUAAACACCCUUUUGCUUCAGAACCUCGGCAGCAAUCGGCACUGUGGAGUUGACUGGAUUGCUGAUAAUGUGGAUAAAGGCAUCUGGGCAGUUGUCAGCAACAGCCUCAACCAAGCCUUUCACAAUAUUAGCAUUAAUGUUGAACAAGUCGUCUCGUGUCAUACCAGGCUUUCUCGGAACGCCAGCUGGUAUGACAACUACGUCUACACCUUUCAAAGAAUUGGCCAACUCAGAAGCUCCCGUAAAGUCAAAAACCUGAGCGGGAGUGUUGCAAUGGCUGAGAUCUGCUGCGACUCCUUUGACAUUUGCAAUAUCAUAAAGGUGCAACGAUGAUACUAGCGGCGACAUCUUAAUCAGAAGAGCUAGAGACUGGCCUAUACCGCCAGAGGCUCCAAGAACAGCCACUUUAUAAGAUGCUUGGGGCUGAACAUGGUUCCAAGAUCUCUGCUUUUCGUUUCGGGCUUUAGGAGUAAUGGAUUGUCGAAGAGCUGCAACACUUUCAUUUCCUAGAAAUGACGACUCGGAUUCACAUCGUACAAAUGCCUCUGCCUUAAGGCCACUGAAAUUCCUAAGGUAGUUCCUGGUAUUGUAUUUCACAAUGAAGGCUUUUGAUUGUAAUUUUGGGCUCGCUAUGGAGCCAAAGGAUGUAGCGGAACCAACUGAGAGAGUAGUUGCUGAUGCUGCUGCCAUUUCACCCACUGAUACAAAAAAUCAAGACAAAAUUAAAGAAGAAAGAAAUUAGAAGAAUAAUGAGGUUGAAAGAAAUAAUAUCUAAUUUUCUCUCUUUUCAAAUCACAAAAUAAAUUUUUGCUUGUUCUCCUCCUAAUUUGAUACGAAUUCCAUAAAUAGAAUGAUUUUUUCUCCAAAUAAUUUUUCUUACCCUUUGAAACACUAAUCAGGCUUCUUAUAAAUUUCUAAACCACAAUGAAUUUUCUCUCCUUUGUAGGAGGAAUAAAUAUUUUUUCAAAAAGUCUUUUAUUUUGAAAAGAAUUUUUUGUUACAUAAUCUCUUUCUUUACAUCAAUGUCUUCACAAGAAUCAUGAGAUAUUCUCUCUUUCUCUUUUGUUAAAAAAGUCACAUGACCUAGAAAUUUGAUGGACAUCUUAGCGACANNNNNNNNNNNNNNNNNNNNNNNNNNNNNNNNNNNNNNNNNNNNNNNNNNNNNNNNNNNNNNNNNNNNNNNNNNNNNNNNNNNNNNNNNNNNNNNNNNNNNNNNNNNNNNNNNNNNNNNNNNNNNNNNNNNNNNNNNNNNNNNNNNNNNNNNNNNNNNNNNNNNNNNNNNNNNNNNNNNNNNNNNNNNNNNNNNNNNNNNNNNNNNNNNNNNNNNNNNNNNNNNNNNNNNNNNNNNNNNNNNNNNNNNNNNNNNNNNNNNNNNNNNNNNNNNNNNNNNNNNNNNNNNNNNNNNNNNNNNNAAAUACAAAUAAAAAAUACAAAACAAAGAUAAAAUGUCAAAAAAAGGAAAAAAAAGAUGAAUACAAAUACUGGUCAUAGAGAGAUGCCACAUCAAAUUGUCAAUAUUCAGCUUUAUAUAUACAUAUAUAGGUUCAUGCCCUUAGAUGUUAUUUUAUUACUUUAGCUGGCAUCGACAUUUUUGUAAAUCUGAUAUCUACUUUGGAACAUUUUAUAAUGUGGCAUAGGCUGACAAUUGAGAUCAUAAAUUUAAAAUAAUAAAAUUUAAAAUAAUAAAAUUUAACCGCUUUUUAAAAAAAAUAAUCAUAUAACUAAUUUGAUUUACACUCCAAAAUUCAUAGGUGUCACAUAAUUUACACAUUAAUUCUUCAUUACUUAAUAUAUGUAAUUAUAUCAAUAACAUAUAAAUUGAAAUUAAAAAUACAUAUUUUAUUUGAAAAUCACGUAAUAGUCCUAUAAGGUAUAAUAAUUAACAACUUAACAUAUUUUAAAAUUUUAGUUGACUCUCCGAAUUCCAUAUGUCUCAUGUAAUUGAGACAGAGAAAAACAUAUAUUGGUUUAAAAUUAAUAAAAAUAUUAUAAAUUAUAAUAAUUAACAACUUAAAAUUUAUAAAAAAAAACCUUUAAAAUUUUUUAGUUGGCUCUCCAAAUUCAAUCGGUAUUACAAUAAUUAAAACAUAGAAAUUAACAUAGAUUGGACUCCUGCUGACAUUUAUGUUUCCUUUUUCUAAAUUUUCUCUUUUAUANNNNNNNNNNNNNNNNNNNNNNNNNNNNNNNNNNNNNNNNNNNNNNNNNNNCAUAUAAACAGUUUUUGUUAACUUUCAAAAUUUCAUCUAUGCCGCAUAAAUUGGGAGAAAUAUAGAUAUAUAGAUAUUUUAAGUUGCUAAUUAUUGUGAGUUAUAGUACGUUUUAUGUAAUUUUCAUAUAUAUUACUCGGUCCUGAUUUAUGUGAUACAAAUGAAAUUUCAAAAGUCAAUGAAUUUUUUAUAAGUUUUUUUUUAUAUUAACUUGUUAAUUAUUGUGAUUUCUAAUAUAUUUACGUAAAACAUACUCUAAACACAAAUAAUUAGCAACUUAAAAUAUAUAAAAACAUACUAAAAAAUUGAUUAACUUCAAAUUUCAUAUGUACCACAUAAAUUAAAACAGAAACAGUGACAUAUAUUGGGCCCCGUGCUGGCACGGGGUCCAAAUCUAGUGUAUAUAUAUAUAUAUAUCACUUACACCAACAACUUAGGUGCAAGAGAUGCACUAUGAUCUGAUUGAUUUGCGGCCUCCCCAGUGGCCACAAUAUUUCUAACCUAAAGAGUCUUUUUCUGUAAAGCUAUUUUGAAAAAUAACCACUUCUUGAAUAACAAGAAAUGCUAAGAUAUAAAUUUCUAUCAUCCUCAUUUUUCUUCUUAAAAUUUAUUAUUAUUGUUGGAGAUUUUAGGAUGGGCUGUAUUUUUUUUUUCCAUUUAAUUUGUUAGAAUUUAUAGUGUGUAUGGCCUGGUAGGGGACAUGCAUUUGAUAAGUCAAAAUGUUGAAAAAAUAAACAUCAAAGAAAUUUUGGAAAUUUCCUAAAUGACCUAUCAAUUUCAACCUUCUUGGGUAUUUUUGAUGGACAUUCCUAUCUGAACGCGGUCAAGAAUAUGAGAUUUGUAAUAAAAUAAUUUUCAAUAGAAUUCGUUGGAAAUUCCAUCGGUAAUUCAAUUUUUUUUAGCGAGAUAAUAAGAAUCCUUUUCCUUAAGAUGGCCUUGGUGCAAUUUACAAUGUGGGUUUGCUAUAAAGUAAAGUGUUUUUGUCAAAAGAUGUUUUCAUGGAAAAGUGUUUAAAAAAAUUUAAUUUUCAACUCUUUUGCUAUCCAAAUAAAGGCCUGUGGAUAAAUGAGGCCCCUCCAAGUUAUUGGGAUCUAAGUUGUGCUUUUUUUAAUUUUGGUUUAACUUAGCAGAACAAUUUAGAUCAUGUAAUAGUUUGGAAUGCCAAACUCAAAGAUGUGGCAUUUUACACAAAUCAAUAAUCAAUGAAGGUAGUUCAAAUAAAAAUAUUUUAUAUAAUCUAGACAACUACGGUUGGAGUACGGAUGAAUCAUUAAAGAGUGGGAGUGGUGGGAUGAGCCAAUAAUUAAUGUGUAAUGCGGUUUAUGAAACUUGUUUUUUCUUAUCUAAUUUAAUAGGAUAAGUCAUUUGUAUCAUUAUUAACAAAAAAAAUUUCUUAAGAAAUUCAAAAAUCUUGACCAAUUAAACUUGAAAAAGUUGAAAAGUAUUUUCCUUCGUACCAAUUAACAUGUAUUUGAUUUGAAGGAAAAUAUUUUCCACAAAACCAAAGAUUUUUUCGGAAAAUAAGUAAUUUUCUAACUUAGUUUCUUUAGUUAUAACUUAUAAGCAAGGACAAUAUUUUAUCCCAAGAGCAUUUAGAUACAAUCUGCACAAAUAUAAUGAUACUAAAUAUUAUGAUACUGAAUCACCUUUCACACAUACCCAAAACCUUGUCCUGACCCAAGACCUAACCUAACCUUAACCUCAACACCGACUCGUAACAUGACCUUGACCCUGAUCCCGUCUCCAAAAAUUCGUCCACAAUCUGAUCUUGGCCUAACCAAACUUGAGACCUGACAACCGACCUUAAUCAUGAACCAUGAUUUAGUGCCUACUUGGUACAUAACCCUAAUCUCAAUUGAGGCUGGCGAUCCAACCCCGAGCCAAGACUCGAUUCUAACCUUGAGUCCAGAUCCAACACUGACCCGAGACAAGACUUUGACACAAUGAUGAGUUUUGUGUCAAGAUUGUGGCGGGUCCUAGGUCACAUUUGGGGAUUAAAUUCUAAUUAGGGUUAAGUCUUCGGUCGGGGUUUCAAGUCAAGGUCAGAUCUCUGAUUGAUGUUAGAAUUGAGAUUUAGGCUCAAAUUAGGGUUGAGUCAAGGUCUAGUAGAGGUUUUGGGUUGAGGCCGUGGGGAGUUGGGUCCUGGUCCAGGCUCCAUCUUGGGGUCAAAGUCAGGAUUGGUAGCCGAUCGAUGGUCUAUGGCGUCUGGGUAGAUAAUUAGGUGGUGGUGAUGAGGUUGGAAGAGAGUUUAGGAAAAUAAUUUUCUUACUUUACAUAUCUAUUUCAUAAAUAUUUUCCGAAUAUUUAUGCCAAUCAAAUAUAAAAAAAAAUGGAAUCCUUCAUACCAAACACAUCCAACAAAAUUUCAACACGCCCUAUCACCAUCCUACUUAGCUUAAUUUUCUCUUGGUCCUCAAGUAACAAAAGGUCUAGUAGAGGUUUUGGGUUGAGGCCGUGGGGAGUUGGGUCCUGGUCCAGGCUCCAUCUUGGGGUCAAAGUCAGGAUUGGUAGCCGAUCGAUGGUCUAUGGCGUCUGGGUAGAUAAUUAGGUGGUGGUGAUGAGGUUGGAAGAGAGUUUAGGAAAAUAAUUUUCUUACUUUACAUAUCUAUUUCAUAAAUAUUUUCCGAAUAUUUAUGCCAAUCAAAUAUAAAAAAAAAUGGAAUCCUUCAUACCAAACACAUCCAACAAAAUUUCAACACGCCCUAUCACCAUCCUACUUAGCUUAAUUUUCUCUUAGUCCUCAAGUAACAUCUUUUCUUUGCCCUUCAAUUUACAUGUGAUGAAUUUAUUGAUUGUUUAUUCACAUUAAUAGUUUUGAAUAAUUUUCCUUUAAAAUGUGUUAUAAGAUAAUCUUUUUUUUCCCCAAAGGACGACCUACUUAUUGAUCAAGGACUAAUAAAGACUUUAAAUUCAACAAGCAUAAUUAAUGCCAACCACUUCAUUGCAUCCGACUAAAGAUUAAUACUCCCUUCGUACGUAUAAGUAUCGUUUUAGUUUAUUUUACAUUCAUUAAAAAAUUGUUACUUGUGCUCCAAGAGUGAAUAUUAAAGAGGAAAAAGACCCAUUGAUUUAAGGGCUGAUUUUGACCUAGCUAGACACGCCUUAGAAUAUAUAUUUUCUAUCCUAAUUUAUGUAACACAAUUUAGAUUUCUUAAUUUUAAUCCUGAAUUCAGACAAAGAAUCUUUGAGUUUUUAAAAAUAAGAAUAAGAUAUUUGAAAUAAGAAGUUGAAUGACAAGUCAUAAUAAUUAACAGUUCAAAAUAUUUUAAAAAAAAAUAUAAAAAAUUACGAUAAAAGAAAAACUCAUUUAAUUAAAUUUGAACGAUGAGAUUGAAUAGUCUUGCAUAUGUUGGGAGUUGUUGAGCGAGGUAACUCAAGAACAAUAAACUAUAUACAUCUUUUCCAAACGAUAUAUUAAAUGAGUUGGGAAUCGAAGAAUGGUGUUAUGGUACAUUACAAAUGUUCUUUUAGUUAUAUGUCUCCUUUUAUAGAAUAUCAUGAUUAUAAUAUAACACAAAAAGCAAUAAAUGAAAGGACAAUUUGCAUAAAUUUCACUAGUUUAGGAGCUAAUUACUUAGAUAAACUCUAGUUUGCAAUAUUACGUAUCUUAUCAGAUUUUGGUGCGUCUAUAUACAUCAGAUACGUCCAGAUACAUGUAUCUCACGAUAUAUGAGGUCAAAAUUGUUCUUGAUACAUUGUACCAAAGUAGAUUCAUAUGUAUCUGAGAUACAUAACAAAUCUCGUUUGCCUCUCUUCCAUCUCACUCGCCACUCUCCUAUGUAUCUGGUAUCCCGAUACAUGUGAAUUACACUAGAUACAUCUAUAUAGUGUGUAUCUAGUGUUAUUCAAAUGUAUCUGAGAUACAUAACAAAAUCUAACUUGCCUCCCUCCCCAUCUCACUCGCAUCUCUCCCUAUUUUAGUGUAUAUAUAUGGUAGCAAAAAUACAUGUAUAUGAGUAUAUCUUUUUCAAUAUAUAGUAAUAAACUGUUAAUUAAUGGUAAGAUACGUAAUAGUUUGAAUAUAUAGGUAAUAAUAAUAUAUAUGAUAGUGAAGCUAAGUACGUCUAAUUAGGUGGGUUAUCUCGUAGUACUCCAAGAUUUCCUUGCUAGAAGAAAUUGCCUUGCAAAUUGUAUUAGAAAAUCAAAAUUUCCUAAAUGUAGAAAAAGGUGACAUGUUAAUGAAUUUAAAAUGAUAAUGUUCAAUGAGGUUGGUAAUUGAUCAAUUUUUUUUGAAAUUUCAUGAACUUUUCUAUAAUGUUUCUUUUUUCAUGUUUUUUGACUAAUUCAAGGCCUCCUAACAAAACAUGUUCCUAUAAAUUCUAACCAAAAUAUUAAGAAGAGAAGAAACUUUAUUUUAACUUAAAGAAAUGAAGAUAAUUUUAACUUUUAUCAUUGCAUUACUAGUUAUACAAGAAGUGUCCAUUUUUCACAAUAGAUGUAUACACAAAGCCUCUAUAGGUAUAGGAGUGUGGCUAGUGCUGGCUGUUCCUGCCCAGAAGAGACCAAAACCACCAUCUCCACCACCACCAAAGGGCGGGCCAAUAACUGGCCAACGAGCUAGGUCAACAUUAGUUCCUCCCCCACCUCCAUAUUUAACGAGUCCUAUAAGGGUAUAAAUGACCUUAAUGAAAGAAGCUUUGAUAUUCGUCCUUAAGUUGUGUUGCUUAUGAACGAUUUUAACAUCUUUGUUUAGUUUGUUUUAUUAAUGUACCAAAAAUAAAGAUAAUUGUUGUUUGUUAUAUCCAUUUUGUAUUUUGUAUUUCUCUUAAGAAAUAAUAAUUAUGUGUUAUUUUAUUAAAUUAUCCUUAUGAAUGGUACUUUGGAACUUUACUAAAAUCGUAGCCUCAACAAAAUUUAAAUUACGAGAAAUGCAACCUAGGAACUAAUCUUAAUCCCUAUAAUUAACAAUAAUUUGCUCAUACUAUUAAGUCCCCUAAUCAUUAGUUUAACCUACUAAUUGUUUCAUGUUUAUACAUAAUUAGGCCCGUCUGCAUCGGUCGGUUCGGUUCGGUUUUAAGUAUUAUCGGUUCGGUUUAUCGAUUUUCAAUUCUUAAAUACAUUAAACCAAUAACCAAACCAAUAAGAGAUCUUUUAUCGAUUUUUGUUUAUCGGUUUUAGUCCUUAAUAGUUCGGUUUUUGGCUUAACCAAUAAGAAAAUACUUAUAAAAUAAAUAUAUGACUUCUCUAAUAAAUUUGAUGCGACAACACAAUAAUGUAAUGAAAAAACUAUACAAGUGUAACACAAAGAGAAAUUAAGAGGAAUGUGGUUCUUACUUUAGAUUUUGACGUUUUGUAUAAUGUGAAGUUGUGAACUAAAAAUCACUUUGAAGUGUUGAAGGCUAAAGGAUAAAGACAGUAACUAAUAAGGUAUUGAGAUUAAUAUAUAAUAUUUAUGUACAAGUAAAUGUAGUAAAUUAUUAGUCUUAAUGGGUUAUCGGUUUACCCAAUAACCAAUAAUCAAUACCGAAUCGAUAACCCGAUAUUUUCUUUUAUAAAACCAUUAAAAAACCGUUAAUCUAAUAACCCAAUAACAAUAAACCAACAACACUUUUUUCGGUUUGAUUUAUCAAUCGGUUCGGUUUUUACAAGCCCCUAAAUUACGUCCUGUCGUCCCAUUCAUUAAUUUGGCCAAAUCAUUUUCUCCAUUACUUCCAAUAUUUUACUUAUCAUUAUUUGUUUUCAUUAGAAUAACUCAAAUUCUUCCAAAGAAACGGGACAUUUACAAGGUUUCUUUUGAUCCUUAUAUUAUUCUUCUAACAAAUAAAAAGAAAAAGUUAUAAACCAUAUUCCAAAAACCUCCAACAAUAAGAGCAUGCUCCUAGAUGAUUGUUACGUAUUGUUUCAUAAUGUUUCUUAUCAUAUUAUAUUGUAUUGUAUUAUAUUAUAUCGUACUGUAUGUACUGCUUAAAUGAAUAUAAUGUUUGGAUAGAAUGAAUAUAAUCUCUACUUCUUUUGCUAAUAACAAUAUAUUAACGGACUGAAUCUCUGUAACAAUCUGAUCCGUCAUUUUUUAAAUACAACUCAUGCGAGCCUCAAGUUUUUUCUUGAACUUCAGUGCCCAAUUAAGAAUUACACAUGAAUAUCUUAUACCAUUCAAUGGGGCAACAAACUAAAUACAAUAACUACGCCUCAGUUGCAAACACACUGGGGUCUACUAUACAAAUUUUUAUUUCUUCAAUUAUUGAACAAAUACAACAAUAUACACUAACAAGUCACAAAGAGUGCUAUAAUUGAAAUAGUGAAAACACACACACACACACAUAUAUAUCACUUACCAACAAAGUUUCACUUGGUGUAGGAGAUGAUCUAUGGCCUGACUUAUCCGCGGCCUCUGGUGGUGGAGGCGGCAGAGCAGGCCUCAGUGCAGAAACAGCCAGUGGCCACAUUUCUACACACCUAAAGUGGCUAUUUCUGUAAAGUUAUUUUGCAAAAUAGCCACUUCUUGUAUAACAAGAAAUGCUAAGAUAUAUAUUACUAAUUUACUAUCAUCCUCAUUUUUCUUCUUAAAACCUUAUUAUUAUUAUUAUUAUUGAUGGAGAUUUUAGGAUAACUCUUUUUAAUUCGUUAGUAUUUAUAGUGUGUAUGGCUUGGUAGGGGCCAUGCAUUUGAUUAGUCAAAAAUGUUGAAAAAAACAAAAUCAAAGAAAAAUUGGAAAUUUCCUUUAUCUAUUUCACAAAAAGAUAGAGGGUAUUUUCGAUGGACAUUUCUAUUGGAACGUUAUCAAGAAUAUGAGAUUUCUAAUGAAUUAAUUUUCAUUUUCAUUAGAUAAUUCGAGUUUUUUUAGUAGUGAUUACGAUAAUCCUCUUCCUUAGGAUAACAAUGGUGUGGGGCGGUUAUAAUUAUACAAGUUCACCCUUAGCACAUGUUUGCGAUAAAAAAAAUAUUUUUAAAAAUAAGUUUAUUUUUUAUUUAUUUUCAGGUGCUCGAUAAGUAAACAAAAUAUAUUAUCGUGAAAUAUUUUAUAUAAUAUAGACAAACACUAUUGGGAUGUAGAGAGUGGGAGUGGUGGGGAUGGGAUAUUGUGUUGGAAGGAUGGGAGGAGACAAUUCAUGUGUAAUUGCUAUUUAUAAACCUCACUCAUUAGGGAAUUAAAUUAAUUUUUAUCAUUUAAAAAAAAAUUGUUUUCCUAUAAAAAUAUUUUUUUAAAAUCUUGACCAACCAAACAUUUAAAAAAUAGAAAAACAUAUUUGGUACGAAAAAAAAAAUAUUUCCUAAAAGGGGAGGUGGAGGCCGGGAAGAUAGUGAGUAGGAGCCAAUGGUGGGUUCGGGGGCUGGGGUUAGAGGUCGAUGGUCGAUGACUUCUAUGGGUGGAUUAGGUGGUGAUCAUGACUCAUGAGGUUUAAAGAGAGUUUUGAAAAAUAUUUUAAUUUCCUUAUUUUAUGUAGGAAGUCAUUUCGUUAAUAUUUUACUUGGAAAUUUCAAUUAAUCCGUCCCAUCACUAUCUUAUUCUCUCUUGGAUCUCAAGUAACAACUUUUCUUUGCCCUUCACCUCCACGUUUUGAGAAAGAUUAGUCUUCGAUUCACAUUAGUUUUGAAUAAUUUUAUUUUGAAUGUAUUAUAAGAUGAUCACUUAUUGAAGGACUAAUAUAAAGAGUCAAAUUCAACAGGCACACUGCCAAAUACUUCAUUGCCAUAUUGGAAAAGGCAUAAUACAUAAAUAUGCUUUAAUUUUUAACUUAGUCGUAAUUGACACUUACCCCUUCAACUUUGGAUGUGUAUAAGUUGGCAUAAGUUGGACGGCAUAGAUAUAUCAGCCGAGGUCACGUUCAAGAACACGUUUAUAUAUUAUGUCAUUGCUAUAUAUAAAAUUCAUAGCAUCAUGGACUAAAGAAUAGUACUCAUAGAAUUGCCACAUCAUAGAAUUAAAAGUCAUAUUUGGAUCAUAUCUUGUAAAUACUCCAAGAUUUUCAUGAAUUUUUCUAUGACGUUUUUUUUAUUUGACUAAUUCAAGUCCUUCUAACUAAAUAUAUAUACCUAUAAAUUCUAAUAAAAAAUUAAGAACAUAAUAAACAAGUCCUAAAUUAAAGAAAUGAAGAUGAUUAUAACUUUUAUCAUUGCAUGACUAGUUAUACAAGAAGUGUCCAUUUUUCACAAUAGAUGUAUACACAAAGGCUCUAUAGGUAUAGGAGUGUGGCUAGUGCUGGCUGUUCCUGCCCAGAAGAGACCAAAACCACCAUCUCCACCACCACCAAAGGGCGGGCCAAUAACUGGCCAACGAUUUUAAUGAAGAAUCUUUGAUACUCUAGAGUAAUGCAUUUAAGGACAUGGAGUUUGUCCUUCUUCUAAUGGACUUAAGUCGUACUAUUGCUUAUGAACGAUUUUAAAAUCUUUGUUUGAUUUUUUCUUUUAUGUACCUAAAAAUAAAGAUUAUUGUUGUUAGUAUACAUAACAACGAAUAAAUUUUUUCUUUUUUUAUACACUCUAUGUUUGGUUUUACUUGUAUCCAUUUUGUAUUUCUCAUUCCUAUUAAAAAAAUAAUAAUUAAGUGUUUGUUUUAUUAAAAAAUUAUUCUUAUGAAUGGUACUUUGAAAUUUAAAUUUGAAUAAUGGUAUUUCAAUUAGUUUGGAAAAUGGUUACUCUCUCUAGAUUUGUUAUAGUAGAAGUAAAAGUAAAAAAAUAUUUUUAUUAUACUCGACUGGGAAAGAAAGGACUAAUUAUUUUGCAUUGCAAUUUCUUUUUAUGUCUAAAGCAUUUGGUAUGAAAAAUCACGACAUGCACCUCUGCAAGAUUUGAAUAAAAUUCACUAAAAUUGUGAACCUCAAAAAAUUUCAUAUUACAAGAAAUGAAACUAAUAUUAUUCCUAAUCCCCCCUAAAACAAUCCUUCUAAAGAAAGCUGAAAAUAGGUAAAAUUCAAUCGUAAUCCAAAAACAAGUUAUCUAGAUUUGAAGACGAUAAAACAUAUAAAUAUGAUAUAACUUUAACAAUUUGGUUCAUUAUAUCAUAUUGCAUAAUAUUAUUUCACGUCAAACUAUGUUAUUAAUGCUUCAACCAUAUUAUUGUUAUUUCACUGAAUCGAAACAAAAAAAAAUAAUCACGAUUUUAUUAAAUCACCAUGUCAAUCCCUUGAAAUUUCAAUCCGCAUCGAAUUAUUGUCAUCCCUACUUUUCCUUUUCUUUCUUGGACCUCAAGUUAUAACUUUUCUAUGCAUUUCACAUCCAUGUGUUACAAAAGAUUGAUAAAAGUCUCCAAUUCACAUAUAUGUUGUAUAGACUUUAAAUUCAAGUACGUACCAUAUAUAUAACCCCAUAUACCCUAAACCUAAGGUAAUAAGAAACAAGUCCCAAUUUAUUUUUUUAAAAAUGAAGAUGGUUAUAACUUGUAUCAUUGCAUUACUAGUUAUACAAGAAGUGGCCAUUUUUCAAAAUAGCUUUACAGAGAAAGCAUAUUUAGGUAUAGAAAUGUGGCCACCGGCUGUUUCUGGCCAGCGGAGACCGCGUCCUAGGUAUGGUUAUUUUGAAUUUUGAAAAUAAAAUUAAAAAAGUACGAAUUCAAAUUAAUUAAGCUAGAUCAGAUACUAGAUAAGGAGAUAUUAUAUGAGAAAAAAAGAGCAUCUAGAUGUAAGAAAAAAUGAUCAAUAUUUUGGGAUGGAACUAGUCCCAUCACUUUCUUGAAUAAUAAAAUUAUUUAGUCCAAGUCUUAUGACUUCUAUAAAAACACGGUUUUGUAAGAUAUAUUUCAUAUCUUUAAAGACAUUAUUCAAUGUUUCAACAGACGGCUAGAGAAGAAAUUAAUUAAUAAAUUAAUGAUACAUGUUUUCCAAGUUUUGAUCCUUAUUUUCUUUGAUAAAGAAAUGAACGUUGUGACUAACUCAAUCUAAAGAGCUAGUUCAUUCGGAGAGGAUUGUCAAGACCAUAUAAAUAAAUCACUUUUCCUGAUCAUCGCCAUCGAUGUGGGACUCGAUCUCUCUGAACGUUCAAGAUUGGAUAUUUGAAACUGGGACAAUAUAAUCUAGGAACCCGACAAUGGGUAAACAAUAAGAUGUGAUGGUAGUGACUUUAAUUUGAUACUAUAUUGCUUUUUUUUUUAAAAUGAGUCGAGACCCUUAGUUUAACUCAACCACAAAACUAGAUCAUGAGGUGAUCAAGAGUACGUACCCAAGAUAAUAGGAUUUUAUGAGAUCCAAAAUUGUAAAACGAUAGGCGUUAAUAAUUUAUUUUUAUAAUGAUUUUUCAUCUGGUAUUCAGUACUUGCUUUAAAUUGUUCGAUUAAUUUGAAGACAAGUUCAACACAAGUAGGUUGAAAAUUAUUAAAGUCAUAUUGCAAGCUAAUGGACUUUCUUUGAUGUUUGUACUUUUCAACAAUUUUGGAUAAUCAAAUACCUUCGACCUAGACAUAAACAUUAUAAAAUUUUUAUGAAUGCUACUAUAUAUAUAACUCAUAUUCCCAAAACCUCAAACAAUAAGCUUUUAGAAAUCAUGAAAAUGAUUAUAACUUGUAUUUUUGCAUUACUUGUUAUACAAGAAAUGGCCAAUUUUUCAAAAUAGCCAUUUAGAAAUAUGGCCACUACUAGCUGUUUAUGCUGAGAUGAUGAGACCUUCUCCGCCACCACCACCACCACCAAAGGCCGCAUCAACUAUUAGGCCAAGAUUACUAAUUGUACCACCUACCCUGCCGUCUCCAUAGUUGUCUCAAAGUUUUGAUUUGUUGGUGUGCAGAGAUGGAGCUAGGAUUUUGAGUUUAUAAAUUUUGAAUUCUAGAAAAUGUAGCUCACUAGAUUCUUUGUAAGUUAUUUAUACGUAAUAAGUAGAUAUGAAAAUACAAAAUAGGGUUUGAGUCAAAAUUAUUGAGUUCUGGUGAAGUUGUAGGCUUGUAGCUCCACCACUAAUGGUGUGUUACCAUGUUCAUAUUUUCACUAUGUGUAUGAUUGCGUUUAGUACUUCAUAUAAUAAAGCAAGGC
rnacentral:lncRNA from 1 species